rnacentral:rRNA from 1 species
UACGAAGGGUGCAAGCGUUGUUCGGAUUUAUUGGGCGUAAAGCGCAUGUAGGCGGUCCGGCCAGUCAGGUGUGAAAUCUCGGAGCUCAACUCCGAAACAGCGCCUGAAACUACCAGACUAGAAUCCUAGAGAGGAAAGGGGAAUUUCUCAUGUAGGGGUAAAAUCCGUAGAGAUGAGAAGGAACAUCAGAAGCGAAGGCGCCUUUCUGGAUAGGUAUUGACGCUGAGAUGCGAAAGCGUGGGGAGCAAACAGG